CAGCCCCGUGGUGGAGAACAUAUUGGAUUGCAAAUCCAAAGACGCAGAAUAAUACCCUGCCGGGGCUU
rnacentral:tRNA from 1 species